GCUUUUCUUGAUUUCUAUGGUAUGUUGGGAUACUCCAUGUGUCACUCAACCACCCCAUGCUAAUACACAGAUAGGCAAAAGGGAGGUUGACUUUAGGUAAAAGUAUCUAAAUUUCAUUAAGAGACUCAGUCAAUCUGUACUUGGGAUUCCUCCGUCAAGUUAUGUAGGAGGGAUGUAUUAUUUGGCCUUUGAAAGGAGGUUGUAUUAUAACUGAGAAAUAAGAUCAAUCUAGGGCAAGACUACAGAGCAAGAAUGAUUCAGAUGUGCUGGAAAUUGAGUUAAAGGCCGAAUUAGGUGAAAAGCUAUAACAACACACCACAUAACUAGUAAGUUAAUUUCAAAUUAUGUUCAACAGGAUUCAACCGAUAGUUCAAGGUAUCAACUAAGAAAUAAGAUCAAUCUAGGGCAAGACUACAGAAAAAGAAUGAUUCAGAUGUGCUGGAAAUUGAGUUAAAGGCCGAAUUAGGUGAAAAGCUAUAACAACACACCACAUAACUAGUAAGUUAAUUUCAAAUUAUGUUCAACAUGAUUCAAGCGAUAGUUCAAUGUAUCAACUAAAAGUCUGAUGACAAUCAAAAAAUCGGCUGUUAGAACUAAAGGAAAAGGUUAACAACUUAGCAAUGGGCUCUCUACAUCAACAAGUAUAAGAAGAUUGCACACUACUCAUUGUUGAGGACCUUCACGAUGUUAACACGCAGCCAAGAGUUCAUGGAUUCAUCAGGUAAAAUCCUGAACUUUACACAAUGAAAAUGACAAGCAGAACCAAUAAAGGUAAAAUUAUCCCUAGUUAAUGUACAUCAUACAGACAACUCUUGAAUAUAAUCGCAACUUGUGGGUACAUACUCACAUGGACCCAAGUCCAUGGCUAAGUAUGAAACUGCACACCAAAUCGAAAUUCAUUUCCAGAAAUUAUACUUCUUCUUAAAUGUUAGUUUAUAUCCAUUUGGUUAAAAUAAAGAAAUGCUAAA
rnacentral:lncRNA from 1 species